UAAUAAUAAUAAUAGUAUAAUUCUUAAGGCUUGUUUGGUUACCGAGAAAAUGCAUGCAGAAAAGGUUAAAAAAAAAAAUCAACACUCAAUUUUGAGUCAUAUGUUCCCCAAGCUAUUACACUGAGCAGAGAGCGAGAGUUAGCUAUUUUGGCAUUAUUACAAAAUUUACACAUUAAAAAUGCUACUCAACGACCAUUCAAAAGUCUAACACUAUUUUCCCUCAUUUUCUCCCGAACCAAGCAGAAAAUGGCAGAAAUAAAGCGAAAUAGAGACAAUGCAACUGAACAUUUAACACCAAAAGGGCUAAAAGAAAGAAAAUGAAGCAUUUAAAAGCAAAAAAUCAGACAAAC
rnacentral:misc_RNA from 1 species